GUUGAGUUAUGAUGAUAUGUUGAAGAGAGUUGAUCCGUUACGUAAAGAAUUGAAAGAUUUGGAAACCAAAGCUGAGGACACUUGUCAAAAAGGAGAAGAAAUAACAAAAAUAAUAGCAGAACUUGAAGCCUCUAUAGCAAAAUAUAAAGAAGAAUAUGCAAUGGUUAUAUCUGAUGCUAUAAAAAAUAGUGUUAUUAAGAAUGAUUUAUCAACUGUUGAGAAAAGGGUGAGUUCCUCCUUCGUUUGUGUCACCUUGAGAAGAGUCUCCUCACUGCAUUGAACGAGGUCAAGGGUCGUAUCCUAGACAACAACAGAAUCAUUACUGAGCUUGAGACUCUUAAG
rnacentral:misc_RNA from 1 species